GACAGAGGUGCCAAGCGUUAGGCGGAAUCACUGGGCUUAAAGCGUGUGUAGGCGGAUUUGUAAGUACCUUGUGAAAUCCCACGGCUCAACCGUGGAACUGCUCGGUAUACUGCUUAUCUUGAGCCACUUAGGGGCUGUCGGAACAAAUGGUGGAGCGGUGAAAUGCGCAGAUAUCAGGAGGAACACCAGCGGCGAAGGCGGCGCUCUGGGCUGGAACUGACGCCGAGGAGCGAAAGCGUGGGGAGCGAACAGG
rnacentral:rRNA from 1 species